GCCAAUGUGGUGUAGUGGUUUGGGCAUUGGACUAGUACUCUGGAGGUCAGGGUUUGAUUCCCUACUCAGUCA